UUUCAUCUUUUCAUCUCAUUUCAUUAUUUCAUCCUUUCAUCAUUUUGUUGCAUCAUUUCAUCUCAUCAUUUCAUUUCAUUCUUUCAUUUCAUUUCAUCCUUUCAUUUCAUUUCAUCAUUUCAUCUCAACAUUUCAUCAUUUCACUUCAUCUCAUCAUUUCAUUUCAUCUCAUUUUAUUUCAUCUUUUCGUCAUUUCAUUUCAUCAUUGCAUCUUUUCAUCUCAAUUCAUUUUUCAUCAAUUCAUUUCAUUUCACUUAUUUCAUCAUUUCAUCAUUUCACUUCAUUUCAUUUAAUAUCAUUUCAUCAUUUCAUAUCAUUUCAUCAUUUCAUCUUUCCAUUUCAUCAUUUCAUCAUUUGACUUAUCAUUUCAUUUCCUCAUUUCAUCAUUUCAUUUCAUUGCAUCCUUUCAUCAUUUCAUCUCAUUUCAUCCUUUCAUUUCAUUAUUUCAUUUCAUCAUUUCAUCUCAUCAUUGCAUUUCCUCAUUUCAUCAUUUCACUUCAUCUCAUUUCAUAAUUUCAUCUCAUGAUUUCAUUUCAUCUCAUUUCAUCUUUUCAUCUCAUUUCAUCAUUUCAUCUUUUCAUCUCAUCAUUUCAUCAAUUCAUCAUUUCAUCAUUUCGUUAAUCAUUUCACUUCAUUUCAUCAUUUCAUAUCAUUUCUUCAUUUCAUCAUUUGAUCUUUUCAUUUCAUUUCAUCAUUUCACUUCAUCAUUUCAUUUCUUCAUUUCAUUUCCUCAUUUCAUUUCACCAUUUCAUCAUUUCAUUUCAUCAUUCCAUUUCAUCAUUUCAUCAUUUCAUUUCAUCUCAUCAUUUCAUUAUUUCAUCAAUUCAUUUCAUUUACUUCAUCAUUUCUUCAUUUCAUUUCUUCAUUUCAUUUCCUCAUUUCAUUUCACCAUUUCAUCAUUUCAUUUCAUCAUUCCAUUUCAUCAUUUCAUCUCAUCAUUUCAUCCUUUCAUUUCAUUAUUUCAUCUCAUCAUUUCAUCUCAUCAUUUCAUCAUUUCACUUCAUCUCAUCAUUUCAUCUCAUGAUUUCAUCUCAUCAUUUCAUCUCAUGAUUUCAUUUCAUCUCAUCAAUUCAUAGCAUCUUUUCAUCUCAUUUAUUUCAUUUCAUCUUUUCAUUUCGUCAUUCAUUUCAUCAUUUCGUCAAUUCAUUUCAUUUCCUUAUUUCAUCAUUUCAUUAUUUCACUUCAUUUCAUCAUUUCAUUCCAUCAUUUCAUAUCAUUUCUUCAUCAUUUCAUCAUUUCAUUUCACUUCAUUUCACCAUUUCAUCAUCAUUCCAUUUCUCAUUUCAUCUUAUCAUUUCAUUUCAUCAUUUCACUUCAUCUCAUGAUUUCAUCAUUUCAUCUCAUCAUUUCAUCUUUUCAUCUCAUUUCAUUUAAUCAUUUCAUUUCACCUUUUAAUCUCGUCAUUUCAUUUCAUCAUUUCAUGUCAUCAAUUCAUCAUUUCAUUUCAUUAUUUCCUCAUUUCAUCAUUUCACUUCAUCACUUCAUUACAUUUCAUCUCAUCAUUUCAUAUCAUUUGUUCAUUUCAUCAUUUCAUCUUUUCAUUUCAUUGUUUCACUUCAUCAUUUCAUCAUUUCAUAUCAUUUCUUCAUUUCAUCAUUUCAUCUUUUCUUUUCAUCAUUUCAUUUCAUUAUUUCACUUCAUCAGUUCAUUUCAUCAUUUCAUUUCAUUUCCUCAUUUCAUUUCACCAUUUUGUUUCAUCAUUUCAUUAUUUCAUUUCAUCAUUCGAUUUCAUCAUUUCAUUUCAUCAUUUUAUCAUUUCAUUUCAUCUCAUCAUUUCAUCAUUUCAUCAUUUCAUUUCAUUUCAUCAUUUCAUCAUUUCGUUUCUUCAUUUGAUCAUUUCAUUUCAUCAUUUCAUUUCAUUUCAGUGAUACAUGUAUUUAAGUGCUAAUGUGAU
rnacentral:lncRNA from 1 species